rnacentral:rRNA from 1 species
CCUACGGGUGGCAGCAGUAGGGAAUAUUGCUCAAUGGGGGAAACCCUGAAGCAGCAACGCCGCGUGGAGGAGGAAGGUUUUCGGAGUGGAAAAUCCUUUUGAUAGAGAAGAUAAAGACGGGAUCUAACGAAGAAGGACCGGAGAACGCCGUGACCGAAGCCGCGGUAAUAAGGAGGGUGCAAGCGUUACUCGGAAUCACUGGGCGUAACGAGCGCGUAGGCGGGAUAGCAAGUCAGAUGUGAAAUCCUAUGGCUUACCACUAGAACUGCAUUUGAAACUGUUAUUCUAGAGUAUGGGAGAGGUAGGUGGAAUUCUUGGUGUAGGGGUAAAAUCCGUAGAGAUCAAGAGGAAUACUCAUUGCGAAGGCGACCUGCU